GAACGGCAGCGCGGGGGCAACCCUGGCGGCGAGUGGCGAACGGGUGAGUAAUACAUCGGAACGUGUCCUGGAGUGGGGGAUAGCUCGGCGAAAGCCGGAUUAAUACCGCAUACGCUCUGAGGAGGAAAGCGGGGGACCUGCAAGGGCCUCGCGCUCAAGGGGCGGCCGAUGGCAGAUUAGCUAGUUGGUGGGGUAAAGGCCUACCAAGGCGACGAUCUGUAGCUGGUCUGAGAGGACGACCAGCCACACUGGGACUGAGACACGGCCCAGACUCCUACGGGAGGCAGCAGUGGGGAAUUUUGGACAAUGGGCGCAAGCCUGACCAGCAAUGCCGCGUGUGUGAAGAAGGCCUUCGGGUUGUAAAGCACUUUUGUCCGGAAAGAAAACGCAUUGGUUAAUACCUGAUGUGGAUGAC
rnacentral:rRNA from 1 species